UCAAACUUGGUCAUUUAGAGGAAGUAAAAGUCGUAACAAGGUUUCCGUAGGUGAACCUGCGGAAGGAUCAUUAUCGAGUGAGGGUCUUCACGGCCCAACCUCCAACCCUGUGUUUAUUAUACCACGUUGCUUCGGCGGGCCCGCUCUUCAUGAGCCGCCGGAGGUUGUUACAAACCUCUGGCCCGUUGCCCGUCGGUAGCCUUCAAUUAACUCUUGAUGAAUUGUGUCGUCUGAGUCUAAAACAAAAUUAAAACAAAACUUUCAACAACGGAUCUCUUGGUUCUGGCAUCGAUGAAGAACGCAGC
rnacentral:misc_RNA from 1 species